rnacentral:rRNA from 1 species
CUAGUAAUCGUGGAUCAGAAUGCCACGGUGAAUACGUUCCCGGGCCUUGUACACACCGCCCGUCACACCAUGGGAGUGGGUUGCAAAAGAAGUAGGUAGCUUAACCUUCGGGAGGGCGCUUACCACUUUGUGAUUCAUGACUGGGGUGAAGUCGUAACAAGGUAACCGUAGGGGAACCUGCGGUUGGAUCACCUCCUUACCUKAAAGAA